UACGUAGGGGGCGAGCGUUGUCCGGAUUCAUUGGGCGUAAAGAGCUCGUAGGCGGCUUGGCAAGUCGGGUGUGAAACCUCCAGGCUCAACCUGGAGUCGCCACCCGAAACUGCCAUGGCUAGAGUCCGGUAGGGGACCACGGAAUUCCUGGUGUAGCGGUGAAAUGCGCAGAUAUCAGGAGGAACACCAGUGGCGAAGGCGGUGGUCUGGGCCGGUACUGACGCUGAGGAGCGAAAGCGUGGGGAGCGAACAGG
rnacentral:rRNA from 1 species